GUCUAUGGCCAUACCACCCUGAACGUACCCGAUCUCAUCUGAUCUCAGAAGCUAAGCAGGGUUGGGCUUGGUUAGUACUUGGAUGGGAGAAAAUUGGUUCUGAGAGUGGGUUUGUUGCUACAGUGG
rnacentral:rRNA from 1 species